rnacentral:lncRNA from 1 species
GUUCAGUUCAGGGUUUAAAACCCUAAUGCUGAUUGCAUGGAAAAGCUCAGUUUAGGGUUUAAAACCCUAAUGCUGGCUGAGUGGAAAAAAGUUUAGUUUAGGGUUUAAAACCCUAAUGCUGACUGAAAGGAAGAGAGUUCAGUUUAGGGUUUUAAAACCCUAAUGCUGAUUGUAUGGAAAAGCUCAGUUUAGGGUUUAAAACCCUAAUGCUGGCUGAAAGGAAAAGAGUUCAGUAUAAGGUUUAAAACCCUAAUGCUGAUUGCAUGGAAAAGCUCAGUUUAGGGUUUAAAACCCUAAUGCUGGCUGAAUGGAAAAAAGUUCAGUUUAGGGUUUAAAACCCUAAUGCUGACUAAAGGAAAAAUUCAGUUUAGGGUUUAAAACCCUAAUGCUGAUUGCAUGGAAAAGCUCAGUUUAGGGUUUAAAACCCUAAUGCUGGCUGAAAGGAAAAGAGUUCAGUUUAGGGUUUAAAACCCUAAUGCUGAUUGCAUGGAAAAGCUCAGUUUAGGGUUUAAAACCCUAAUGCUGGCUGAAUGGAAAAAGUUCAGUUUAGGGUUUAAAACCCUAAUGCUGACUAAAGGAAAAAAGUUCAGUUUAGGGUUUUAAACCCUAAUGUUGACUAAAGGAAAAGUUCAGUUUAGGGUUUAAAACUCUAAUGCUGACUGAAGGAAAAAUUCAGUUUAGGGUUUAAAA